rnacentral:tRNA from 1 species
GCCGAGGUAGCUCAGUCUGGGAGAGCACCCGUCUCAACACCGGGUUGUCGCCGGUUCGAGCCCGGCCCUCGGCACCA